rnacentral:lncRNA from 1 species
UGGGAGAUGGAUAUAAAAAGGGAGGCGGAGGGGAGGCAGCCGGAGCGGCGGAGCGGGAGCUGCCUGCGCCUGCCUGCCCCUGCCCUGCCUGUCCCGGCCGGUGCGGCAGCUCCGAGAGGCUGCGGGCGGAGCCCACGUCGGCGCUGUCGGGACAGGUAAGAAGUGUCUGCAGCGAAGUUUGGGAGCCGCGGCGCCGCUCGUCGAGCGGCCGCUGGGUCCGCGCCGCGCCGUCUCCCCCUGGCCGCGCCGCCGCUGCCGCGCUCGCCGCCGCCGGCUGUGCGAGAGCGAACGGGGGCUCUGCUAUCGCCGGUGCGACGUUCAGUGAAGGGGGGGAAAGGAGAAAAAGAAAAAAAACACAACGAAACCAAAACACAUCCAAAGCAAAAUGCGCCUUUUGGCGGCUCCGUGCAAAGUCGCGGCGCACGUGUUGCGGCCGGGGGCGGCCCCGGGCUGCGGGACCGCCCGGGACGCGCCGACCGCGGGGAGCCCCGCGGAGCCGCGGCUCCUCCUGCCCUUCGCACCGGACCCGGUGCCGGUGCCGCCGUGGGACGCGUCGUGGAGCAGCGAUCGGCCGCAGCAUCAGGUCGGUACCGCGCCCUCCGCGCCCCUCGCCCCGCCGACCCCGCCGCCGCUGCCGCCGCCCGUCUCUUGCAGGGCCCUGCCCGGAUGCCGCCCCGCACCUCGCCCCGUGCCGACCCGGCUCCGACACCUGCCGGGCCGGCCCCGGGGCCGGCCGUGCGCCUCGAGGGCUCCGCCGCCCUCCGCCACGGAGGUAAGCGGGACGCCGCCCGCCCCGGAGCCCGGCUGCUGCGGGGGAGUCCCGGCCGCACCUCCCGGCCCGGCGCUGCGCUCCCCUCGCCAGCAGGGCAGCUGGUGUUCGCCGACCGCCCCCACGGGCCGCCCAUCGCCCUGCGGACCCGCUACAUCCUCAUCCACGACGGCGGGGAGCUGCACGUGGGCUCGGAGCGCUGCCCCUGAGGCUCGCGGGCCACCAGCUCGCUGUACGGGCGAGCCGCCGAGGGGGCAGAAGUUCGUGGGCGUGGGUCGCCCAUUCCGGAGCCGCACGGCCGGAGGCGUCGCUCCCCGACAGGACGCUGCAUCCCGGCCGGCUCCGGACUGCUCCGAGAGGCGCCGGGGCACCGCGGGCUCAACCUGCGCCUCCCGGACGGCGGCACGGCAGCCGCUGGCGGGGCCGCUUCCGCAGCCGCUGCGGCCGGGCUCAGCUCUCCUGGCCCGGCAGCCCCCGGCAGGGUGGCGGCGGCCGCCCUGGGGGCCUCGGCCGCCCGCAGCCUCACGGCGGAGACGCGGCUGCCGCUGCGGGACCGCCCGGACAGCGCCUUCAUCGCCCGCCUGCGCUACAGGCAGUCCUGGGUGCUGGUGGGGAUUCUCGGAGGGGAUCAGCUUUCCAGAGCAGAAGAUAAGCAGGAGUAUAAUGAGAAUGGAGCAACGGGGUUAG